UACGUAGGGUGCGAGCGUUGUCCGGAAUUAUUGGGCGUAAAGGGCUCGUAGGCGGUCUGUUGCGUCGGGAGUGAAAACUCAGGGCUUAACCCUGAGCCUGCUUCCGAUACGGGCAGACUAGAGGUAUGCAGGGGAGAACGGAAUUCCUGGUGUAGCGGUGAAAUGCGCAGAUAUCAGGAGGAACACCGGUGGCGAAGGCGGUUCUCUGGGCAUUACCUGACGCUGAGGAGCGAAAGUGUGGGGAGCGAACGGG
rnacentral:rRNA from 1 species